AGCAGAAGAACACUGAGAGAGGGAAGAUCCCGGCAUCAUCCUGCACUUCCAUGCACAGACAGUGGGGCGGCAGUACCAGUGGACCCUGUACCUCCACCAUGAAGGUUACCAUCACCAGAGAAACUACGCCAUUAUUCCACCUGCUGGAGACAGCAAUAAUUACAUGUAUCUCACGAGCAGGGCCCUCUUCCCUCAUGUGCUUAUCCUUCUCCUACAUAAACCAUCUUCGAUGGCACCAAAUCCCAUGAUUUUCUGCCACCCUGAUACUUAUUUCAGUGUUGUCUGCUGAUGUACAGGACGAUAUGACAAUAAAUCCUUUGAAUCUUGAA